UAUUGCGCAAUGGCGAAAGCCUGACGCAGCAACGCCGCGUGGGCGAUGAAGGCUUCGGGUUGUAAAGCCCUUUUCUGGGGGAAGAGKAAUGACGGUACCCCAGGAAUAAGUCUCGGCUAACUACGUGCCAGCAGCCGCGGUAAAACGUAGGAGGCAAGCGUUAUCCGGAUUUAUUGGGCGUAAAGCGCGUGUAGGCGGUUCCGUAAGUUGGAYGUGAAAUCUCCCGGCUCAAUCGGGAGGGGUCGUCCAAGACUGUGGGACUUGAGGUCGGGAGAGGGAAGUGGAAUUCCCGGUGUAGUGGUGGAAUGUGUAGAUAUCGGGAGGAACACCAGUGGCGAAGGCGGCUUUCUGGACUGUWCCUGACGCURAGGCGCGAAAGCGUGGGGAGCGAACGGGAUUAGAUACCCUGGUAGUCCACGCUGUAAACGAUGGGUACUAGGUGUUGGUGGUAUUGACCCUAUCAGUGNGDAKAAGCGAUAAGU
rnacentral:rRNA from 1 species